rnacentral:rRNA from 1 species
GUACGCUAAUAUCGUGCUUAUUUGACAAAGGCUCCAAAGGAAGCCACGGCUAACUCUGUGCCAGCAGCCGCGGUAAUACAGAGGUGGCGAGCGUUGUUCGGAAUUAUUGGGCGUAAAGAGCACGUAGGUGGGUUUGCAAGUCAGAUGUGAAAGCCUUCUGUUCAACGGGAGAAUUGCAUCUGAAACUGUUAAUCUUGAGUAUAGGAGGGGAGAGUGGAAC